GAUGAACGCUGGCGGCGUGCCUAAUACAUGCAAGUUGAGCGAACAGACGAGGGGCUUGCUCCUCUGACGUUAGCGGCGGACGGGUGAGUAACACGUGGAUAACCUACCUAUAAGACUGGGAUAACUUCGGGAAACCGGAGCUAAUACCGGAUAAUAUAUUGAACCGCAUGGUUCAAUAGUGAAAGACGGUUUUGCUGUCACUUAUAGAUGGAUCCGCGCCGCAUUAGCUAGUUGGUAAGGUAACGGCUUACCAAGGCAACGAUGCGUAGCCGACCUGAGAGGGUGAUCGGCCACACUGGAACUGAGACACGGUCCAGACUCCUACGGGAGGCAGCAGUAGGGAAUCUUCCGCAAUGGGCGAAAGCCUGACGGAGCAACGCCGCGUGAGUGAUGAAGGUCUUCGGAUCGUAAAACUCUGUUAUUAGGGAAGAACAAAUGUGUAAGUAACUAUGCACGUCUUGACGGUACCUAAUCAGAAAGCCACGGCUAACUACGUG
rnacentral:rRNA from 1 species